rnacentral:tRNA from 1 species
GCGCCCGUAGCUCAGUUGGAUAGAGCACUGGUUUCCGGUACCAGGUUUGCCGGGGGUUCGAAUCCCUCCGGGCGCGUCA